rnacentral:rRNA from 1 species
UACAGAGGAUGCAAGCGUUAUCCGGAAUGAUUGGGCGUAAAGCGUCUGUAGGUGGCUUUUAAGUCCGCCGUCAAAUCCCAGGGCUCAACUCUGGACAGGCGGUGGAAACUACCAAGCUGGAGUACGGUAGGGCAGAGGGAAUUUCCGGUGGAGCGGUGAAAUGCGUAGAGAUCGGAAAGAACACCAACGGCGAAAGCACUCUGCUGGCCGACACUGACACUGAGAGACGAAAGCUAGGGGAGCGAAUGGG